AGCUCCGCUAGUGCUGAGUGCUGACGCUGCGCCGCCGCCGCCGCCUAUUCGUGACCAGGCCGUUGCCGCUGCUCCGUCCUCCGCUUCCCCCCGCCGCUGCUGCCUCACCAAUCCCUCCUCUUCCCCUCCCCACCCGGUCUCUGCCGCCGGCGUCUCCUUGUCUCGCUUCCCCGCCGCCGCCGCCGCCGCCGCCGCCGCCGCGACCUCGUCGACGGAAGUCUUCGGCGGCUGCAGAGUUCAUCCUAUCUCGGUGUGACUAGGCCGCGUACAGAAGGUCAAGGACCCAGAUGUUUUCUUCGCAGGAAGGUUCGCAGGAAGAGGACACGGCCAACUUUUCUUUCAAGGAUGGUAAAAAACUGUGCUCUCUUUUUCUGCGGCAGCAAGGUCUGAUCAAGAAAAAGCGAAGAUGGCUGGCCUCGCUGAAUCCUGAAUUAGGUGUCCCCUUCAAACUUAAGCGACCAAAGUUUCUCAAAGUCGCCUACUUGGCUGAAUCGGAUGUCAGGACUGAUGAAGUGUCCAGCGAGAGAGUAAGAUUUAACAUCGAAGAAAGUUUUGGUUUGCAAAGGAAGUGUUACAUUCAUCAGGUAGUUCUGGAUGGUCUCGAGCUUUUUAAGUUGCAAAAACAGAAGGAUGGCUCUCUCUGUCCAGAAAGCUUGAAGAUCAUGCACUGUACAAUCAGCAAAUUAAGCAAUGGAGCACUUGAGUCAGUGGCUAAUAUUGUCGCCCACAAUGGGAUUAGUUUCAGGAAGAUUAGGCCUACAAUGAUGAAAAUCGUGAAGGACCACCUUCCAAAAUACUUGGCUGAGUUGGACAGUGAAAGUGGUAUGCAGUUGUCUGAAAUUUUAACAAAUCCAUGCAGCUACCAUUCUAAUUCUGUCCGUCUUAGAACACCUGUUUCACCAAUGCUUCUGUCAUCUAUUGACCAAGCUUUAGCUGGGCUGGAUGAAAUUCCCCAGCUAGCUGUUAUUGCAAUCAAUAGAAAGCUCACAGGAAAAUCAUGCCCCCCAGAAUUUCUGCAUGUAACUCGAACUUCCAGCAGAAGCUAUCUUAUUAAUUUGCUAAGGAAAAGGUGUGGAAAUAUGAUAGCAAAGCUGCAGGAAGGCAGUGAUCUUCCAGUGAACUUUGCAAAAGCAUUGUCAGUGAUGAACCUGUAUCGAAAACUAACACUAAAGAGCAUGGAUAUUUCACAUUCAGAGUUCUUUCUGUUUCCACGUGCGACUAUAUCAUCGCAGCAAGAUAUCCUGAAUGCUCUAUGGUCACUUCCAAACGUCGAUACUGAUGAUAUGAAGUUGCUGCGUCCCAUUAUGGGUCAAGGUUCUCAAGUUAAGAUGGCAUCAUUCAGAGCAGCUGUGAGGAAGUACUUGACAGAAUGCUUGUUUGAGUGUGAUGAUGGUAAUUUACCAGAUUUGGCAGUACGUGCCAUUGGUUUCUUAGCUCGAAUGUCUCCUAAAUAUCAACAGGCUAUUCUCACAGAAGACAGAAAGGAAGUGGAAGUAGAUGCUGUCUUGGAUUUAAGCAGUUGUCUCAGAUCUUUAGCACGCGGUGCCACUGAAGAAAACUCAAGCGAUGACGAAGUUAGCUUAGAGAGUGACAGGUGCAGUGAAGAUAAUGAUUUUGUACUCACCGCGAGCAACUACUUUGAUAUUCGUUCUCAGCAGCACAUGGAUGAGGGCCGCUGUUCAAAUUUCAUGAUCAAUAGCACUGAAGAUUCUGAGUACACUGCUGGUGCUGGACAUUAUGGAGACAGUGAUGCUACUGGCAGUACGAAGGAUCCUAGUUUGAAGGACAAUGUGGAGAUGACUAGAUGCUCUGCAGAAGAUCUCUCUGCAUUAUGUGAUGACACUGCAAGUAUUGCACACGAGCUUAUUGGGCACAUUCUUAAAAACAUGUUGACUGAAGACGAGGAGAUUGAUGAACUUACCGAUUGUUAUCUUGGAGGCAGUUCUAAUUCUCAAGAUCCUCAAGAUCCUGAAGCGAAGAACCAAAAAGGCGACAUUGUGAUGAAUGCUGUCCAGAGUCUCUUACCUAAUCUACCGAAAAGCUCCAUUGACAAAGUUAGGAGCAUACUGGAUGGUGCUGAGCAGUGAGGAUGGUCAAUACACAUUUUUAGGUAACAAAUAUUAUGUCGAGGAUGCUGUGUUGCUCGGUCUUAACCGUUACUCUGCAGACAUGAUGACUCAACCUAUCAUGGCUGUUGCUCUUCUGAACCUCUCUUCACGGUUUCCAUCUAUCAGACUUACUGCUCUGAAUAAUGAACUGCAAGCUCUGCAGACGGACAAGGAGAUACUGAAGGCCAGUACCCAGUAGAAACAAACCAGAGGAGGAGGCAAGAUGUUAUUGAAGCACUCUUGUCCUUGCAGCCAUGUCUUCCACCCACAACUUAUCAUCUUCUCAGUGAACUUCAGUUUCUGCUGCACUGAUAACUCUCAACGAAGCAAACAAAGGGCUGGUGAGUUUACUGGAGAAAGAGCAAAAACAUCGGUCCGAAAGGAAGCACUCCACAAAGCUUUCUGGGUCAGUGGAAGAAGGGCCUUUUCUUUCUGCCAUGAUGCAAACAGGAAUGGCAGUAUCUUCCAGAUGAGAUGAGAUAAUCAACGCCCGCGGCAGCCGAAGAUGGCUUUGCAGCCGCGGCCGGUGUA